GAAGGAACAAUGUAGGCAAGGGAAGUCGACAAAAUGGAUCUGUAACCUCGGGAAAAGUAUUGGUUCUAAGGGCUAGGCACGGGGGUCCCAGUCCCGAACCCGUCGGAUGUCGGUGGACUGCUCAAGCUGCUUUGUUGAAAUUUUUUUCUUGGAGGAGGCAUUCCCCUCUCAACAAAUCGUUUCGGCAUCAGCGCCAAUUUGUUGAGAGCGAAAUUCCUCUUCCUUGAUGUAUUUCCUUUUUAUUUGAUUAUGUAAGUGAACUCGGUUUUAUUCUUUAUUCGUCAUCUCGGCUUUGUUGAAAUAAAUUCCAACGUCGGUAUCAUGGUUUCAAGAAUAUUCCAGUCAUAACUUACUUCUUAAUAAUCAUGUGAAUGAGUUAUUCGUUCUUUGCCCCAUCUCGGCUUUGUUAGAAUAAAUUCUAAUGUCGGUAUAAUGGUAUCGAAGCAAUCCCCUAUUACAUAAUUAUUAAGUACCUUUGAAUGCCAUGUGGGUUUUGUGGAAUAAAUUCCAACACCGGUUUAAUGGUAUUCUAAUGUACAAAAGUGAUGAAUAGUUAAUUGUUAAAAACAAAUAAAUAAAUAAAGAACAAAAGAAUAAUAAAUUUAAGUGACCUUUAUUUAUUUACUCCCUUUUGGGUUCCUUUUAUUAACAAACUAAAUUUCUUCCUUAAUGAAGGUUGGUAUUAAAGAAUAAAUAAAUUGUGGAAUGUAAAUAACAAUAAAUAAAAGUUAGUAAGUUAGUUUCAUCACUUUUGUAUAUUAAAAGUUGUUUUCAACAAAUAAAUUUAUUGCUAACACUUUACUAUUUUAAAAUUUACAUGUCUUUCAAGAUUCAAUUGUAGUAUAGUAUAGAGUUAUGUCAAACCACAAGGAAUUGCCUAAUAGAAUGAAUCACAUGAAUAUGUCAAAGUACAAAUAAUGAGUAAACAUAUUUUGAUGGUUUUUGUUUCAAAUUGAAUAUAAACAAUUAACAAGAAACAUAAAACUAAAUAUUAACAAAUUCUUGAGGAGACAAGAUCAUUUUGAAUAAGGAAAAUAUUUCUCAACUUCUUAUGAGUUUGAACUACUUAGACAAGUUCUUAUGUUUUACUUUGAUUAACUCCAAACACCAAGGUCUAAAAUCCUCCUUUUAGUGUAUGUCCUAAAAUGGUAGAACGAUAAUCACUUAUAUUUAAUGAUUAAAAUUCAAACUUUUUUAAAUGAAGAAGAAGUAGAAAGUACAUAAUCAUAUUCAAAAGAAAUUGUUAGGAGCAUGAGCCAUCCAUCCAAGGAUUGGAUGCUUUUGAGAUAUACUAAGUAGUACAAUUACUUCUUAGUUUAUUUGUUAAGUGUUUGAGACAAGUAAAUUUUAUGACUUGAAAUCAAUUUUUAGGUGAUCAAUCUAAAAAGAGCAUUAAGAAUUUCUCAAACAAUUAAAAUUAAUCAAAGCACCAACUUGAAUGAUUAAAAUUUAAAUCUUUUAGAAUAUAAGAAGAAGUGGAAAUCUUUUUGCAUCUCAUUUGCCUUCUCAUUUUCUCCUCUUGAAUUCUAAACUAAAAUUACAAACUUACUUGAAAUAAAGCUCCUAAGAACUAAGAACAAGAAGAGAGAACUUCAAAGAAUUAAAAUGUGAGUGAAACGGUGAGAGAUAUGUGUGUUUGAUUCCCUUUUUGCUCGAAUGGAAUGUGCCCUAUGUAUAGAAUUCCUCCUAGGCUGCUGAGCUGAUUGUCAGCCCCGCUAAGCAACUGACCAAACCCUUCAGCAUGGGUUUGGUCCCUUGAUCAAGUAGCUUUGUCACCUCCUUAUGCUUCUAGUUGUGGGCUAUGAAACCAGCUAUUGUGAGCUACUCUGGAAAUCCUAUGGUAGGCUACUUGAGGUGAGGUCAUUGGUGACUUCAUGGUUUGCUUGUUGGCUAAGUCAAGUCUGGGUGCACUCCGCUUAGCACACAUGUUGCACCGCUAAGCUGCUUGUUCAGCAGCUUUGACCAGGCUAACUGAGACGUAGCCUAGUGCUUGUUGAUCUAGGCAGGAGUUUGGUUCUUCGCUAAGCUGCUUGGUUGGACCGCUAAGCUUCUUGUUCAGCAGCAUGGACUGACCUGGCCUGAUGCUUGGUUCAUGGCUGACCUGGCCUGGUGCUUGCUGAUCUGGGCAGGAGUCUGGUUCUCCGCUAAGCUGCUUGUUCAGCAGCUUGGGCUGACCUGGCCUAGUGCUUGCUGAUAUGGGCAGGAGUCUGGUUCUCCGCUAAGCUGCUUGGUUGGACUGCUAAGCUGCUUGUUCAGCAGCUUAGGUUGACCUGGCCUGGUGCUUGGUUUGGAUAGACAGCUUUGUGCUUGAUAUCUUCAUGGUGAAGCAACCUUUUUUUCUUUGGUUUGUUACUUUAUUUUUGUUGGUAGCUUGCCACUUUUGGGCUGUUUUCUUUAGGUUAAGGUAAGCAUUUCAUUUUUGCAAGUUGCUUGGCCUACCUUAACUUAGGUUUCUUCAAGACGAAGUAAGGUACCUUUCUUCAAGGCUAAGUAACCAAAU
rnacentral:ncRNA from 1 species